UACGUAGGGGGCAAGCGUUGUCCGGAAUCAUUGGGCGUAAAGCGCGUGUAGGCGGUUCGGUAAGUCUGCUGUGAAAGUCCAGGGCUCAACCCUGGGAUGCCGGUGGAUACUGUCGGACUAGAGUACGGAAGAGGCGAGUGGAAUUCCCGGUGUAGCGGUGAAAUGCGCAGAUAUCAGGAGGAACACCGGUGGCGAAGGCGGGUCUCUGGGCCGAUACUGACGCUGAGGAGCGAAAGCAUGGGGAGCAAACAGG
rnacentral:rRNA from 1 species